rnacentral:rRNA from 1 species
UACGGAGGUGGCAAGCGUUGUUCGGAAUUACUGGGCGUAAAGGGCGCGUAGGCGGCUAGGCAAGUCAGGUGUGAAAGCCCCGGGCUUAACUCGGGAAUUGCACCUGAAACUGCCUUGCUUGAGUCCUGGAGGGGGUAGCGGAAUUCCCAGUGUAGCGGUGAAAUGCGUAGAUAUUGGGAGGAACACCUGCGGCGAAGGCGGCUACCUGGACAGUGACUGACGCUGAGGCGCGAAAGCUAGGGUAGCGAACGGGAUUAGAUACC